rnacentral:rRNA from 1 species
GACGAACGCUGGCGGCGUGCUUAACACAUGCAAGUCGAACGGAAAGGCCCCUUUUGGGGUACUCGUGUGGCGAACGCGUGAGUAACACGUGUGUAACCCGCCCUUGUCUUCGGGAUAACUUUCGGAAACUGGGCCUAAUACCCGCUUGGAAUCCUUGCUGCAUGGUGGGGGUUGGAAAGCUUCGGCGGUUUUGGAUGGACUGGCGGCUUAUCAGCUUGUUGGUGGGGUAGUGGCUUACCAAGGCUUUGACGGGUAGCUGGACUGAGAGGGCGAGCGGCCACAUUGGGACUGAGAUACGGCCCAGACGCCUACGGGAGGCAGAAGUGGGGAAUAUUGCACAAUGGGCGGAGGCCUGAUGCAGCAACGCCGCGUGCGGGAUGACGGCCUUCGGGUUGUAAACCGCUUUCAGCAGGGGAGAAGCUUGUGGUGACGGUACCUGCAGAAGAAGCACCGGCUAACUACGUG